CAAGUUAAUUUAUUAGGUAAGAUUUUCAUUUACAUUGAGAAGUUGAUUGUGCAAUUCAGUCUAACUUGA
rnacentral:tRNA from 1 species